UUGCUACUCCACAGUCCCCUCCUCCUACUCCGACCCCUACAUUAGUGGCUGAUGAGCAUCAUCCAGCUUCCCCUCACACACCUCACAUGCCCCACAUAUUUUCUACAGAGAGAUUUUUUGAUCAGAUUUCGGAUAGGAUGGAGAGGUUGUUUGAGGAUUUCAAGACUCAAAUUUUAUAGAGUCACGAGGCAUCUCAGGAACACACUCAGUCUUAGA
rnacentral:lncRNA from 1 species